rnacentral:rRNA from 1 species
AUGAACGCUGGCGGCGUGCCUAAUACAUGCAAGUCGCGCGAACGGACGAGAAGCUUGCUUUUCUGAUGUUAGCGGCGGACGGGUGAGUAACACGUGGAUAACCUACCUAUAAGACUGGGAUAACUUCGGGAAACCGGAGCUAAUACCGGAUAAUAUUUUGAACCGCAUGGUUCAAAAGUGAAAGACGGUCUUGCUGUCACUUAUAGAUGGAUCCGCGCUGCAUUAGCUAGUUGGUAAGGUAACGGCUUACCAAGGCAACGAUGCAUAGCCGACCUGAGAGGGUGAUCGGCCACACUGGAACUGAGACACGGUCCAGACUCCUACGGGAGGCAGCAGUAGGGAAUCUUCCGCAAUGGGCGAAAGCCUGACGGAGCAACGCCGCGUGAGUGAUGAAGGUCUUCGGAUCGUAAAACUCUGUUAUUAGGGAAGAACAUAUGUGUAAGUAACUGUGCACAUCUUGACGGUACCUAAUCAGAAAGCCACGGCUAACUACGU